GUGCGUCAAUGGCCAGCGGGACCUCGAUGCUGUAUUCCUGGAGCGGAGGCCGGGUACAGAAUCAUACGAAUCCCCGCUACCAGUCUGGUUGUCCCGUCUGUUAGUGGUACGAAUGGAGCCCGCCCAUGAGAGGUACUUAACCUGCGGUUAACCGCAGAAUGAACGUUCUAAUCGAUGCCACACGGCAGAACGAUGGUGGUCCCCAUUCAUGAGUCUUUC